GAACAUGUGAUCGGUGGUGAUUUCUUUUUUGGAGAGUUGGAGCUUUAUGGACAAGGAAGACUUGAUGUAAUAUUGCUGGGUGCUACAGAAAUAAGCUUGGCAGGACAAUGUGCUAUUUAUGGAGAUUUACUGACAAACAUUUACAGCGUGUUGGUUAAUCAAGCAGACUUUUGGUGCACAGGCAUUAAGGAUAACCCAGCAUAUAAUGACG